rnacentral:rRNA from 1 species
AUACGUAGGUGGCGAGCGUUGUCCGGAAUUACUGGGUGUAAAGGGCGUGUAGGCGGGGAUGUAAGUCAGAUGUGAAAGCCCAAGGCUUAACUUUGGGAUUGCAUCUGAAACUAUGUUUCUUGAGUACUGUAGAGGAAAGUGGAAUUCCCAGUGUAGCGGUGAAAUGCGUAGAGAUUGGGAGGAACACCAGUGGCGAAGGCGACUUUCUGGACAGUAACUGACGCUGAGGCGCGAAAGCGUGGGGAGCAAACAGGAUUAGAUACCCUGGUAGUCCACGCUGUAAACGAUGGAUACUAGGUGUAGGAGGUAUCGACCCCUUCUGUGCCGGAGUUAACGCAUUAAGUAUCCCACCUGGGGAGUACGGCCGCAAGGCUGAA